AUACUUACCUGGCAUAGGGGUUACCGUGAUCCUGAAGGCGGUUCCCCCAGGGUGAGGCCUGUCCAUUGCACUUCGGUCGGGCUGACCCCUGCGAUUUUCUCUCAUGUAGAAAACUCGUAUGUGUAAUUUUUGGUAGCCGGGACGUGCGUACGCGCACAUCCCGA
rfam:Culex pipiens quinquefasciatus supercont3.23 genomic scaffold, whole genome shotgun sequence.